CCCCUUUGAACGCGCUUCUCGUUAAGCUCCCUGAGCAGACCGGGGAUUUUGUCGGCGGAGCUAGCGCGGGGGCUUUUAGCGGUGGCGAAACUGUCGUCGCUCUCCUCUCCGAAUACAAGGUCCACUCGUACAACAGAAAUGGCCUUUGUGCAGUGUCAUUCAUGGCUGAUCACUAUCCUGUACGAAGUGCAUUUUCUGUUCUGAAUAAGGUACUUGAUGAAUACCAGAAGGCUUUCAGGGACUCUUGGAAAUCUGCUAGUGCAUAUGCAACUCAACAGUGGCCUUUCCUAACAGAUGCUCAUAUAUGUAGUUUUUUUAAAUCUAAUUGUUAGUCUUACAUUCAUCUCAUCAUAUUGCUCAUAAUCUCCCUGAUAAAUGAAGUUAUUUGUACU